AGCCCCUUCAUCUAGUGGCCAAGGAUAGCGGGCUUUGGACCCGCACACAUCGGUUCGAAUCCGAUAGGGGCUA
rnacentral:tRNA from 1 species